GGACAACAGAGGGUGGCAGAGGGGACAGCAGUGGGGGCAGGAGGGUGGCAGAGGCUACGAGGGAAGUGGCAGGGGGGGCAGCGGGAACAAGGCAGGGACCGACGGGUAGCAGAGCCCUCCAGGGAGGGGCAAAAAGGACCCCUCGGGAGCAGGGUGCCACCCCAGGAGGCCCUAAGUGCCACCAGGUCCCUGACACCUCCCCUGUCCCUUCCCCAGCUGUCCCCGGCCCUGCUGCAGCCACAGGUCAACGUGGUGGCCAUCCUGGGUGAGCUGCUGGACACCCUGCCCAGGGAGAACGAGAUGCUGCUCGGGUCCGCUGUGAGCUUGUACCGAGACGUGGUGAAAUUCACCAGGGAACUCCGGGCUACCCUGUACCGCACGGAUGACGCCUGGCGGCACCACAAUGUCACCGUGGAUGGUGAUGACCCUGUCACCUCCCUGAGCCGGGCCCUGGCCGCCUGCAAGAGCAGCCCACGGACCACCUGGAAGUGUGUGACAUGGGCAGCCCUGAAGUGGCAGCGGGCAGUGGCUGGGCCAGUGAACAGCUGGGCCCAGCUGGCCAGGAAAGCCACCGAGCUCCGCAACACCUGCAGAGGGGAGGCCAGUGAGGCAGCCGACAUGGCUGCCGCUGCCACCGCCCGGGCCAGAGAGCUGCAGGACGAGGCUGCCUGUGAUGAGACAGCUCAGGAAAACAUGGUGGAGCUGGGUCAGGCCCUGGGCAGGGAGGAGGGGGCCGAGGUAGUGGCCGGGCAUGGAGCCCAGGUGAGCAGAGAGGCCAUGGUGGCUGCCAGCGAGGCAACAAGGGCCACCAUGGUGAGACAGCGGGUGGAGGCGUCCCUGGGGCUGCUGGAGCGCUUGGUGGCCGCGUGUGUCGAAGCCACCGCGUUCCCUCGGGAGCUGCAGCGCAGGGUUGGGGACAUCGAGGCCGCCCUGAAGGGGACAAAUGAGGCGUCCCGCAAUGUCCCUGAGGACUUGGUGGCCAAGGUGGCCGAGGCCGAGUGGAUGUGGGAGGCCAACGCCCGCCUGGCCAAGGAUCACCUGCUGGGGACACUUCCAGACAUCAUCAAGUUCUUGUGCACUGGUGGUCCCGCCAGCCCCAGUGCCCGUGAGGUGGCCGAGCGGUGCCAAAGAGCCAUUGAUGACAUCCCAAGGCUCCUUCGACCCCUGGAGCAUCCCCAGAGGAUCCCCAGGGUGUCCCCAGAGCUGUCCCCAGCCCUGCUGCAGCCACAGGUCACCAUGGUGGCCAUCCUGGUUGAGCUGCUGGAUAUCCUGCACAGGCGGGACGAGGAGAUGCUGAUGCUGCUCGAGUCCCCAAGGUGCCUGUACAGUGAACUGGUGGAUUUCACCGAGGAGUUCCACUCCAUCCUGGAAUACACUGAUGACACCUGGUACCACCGCAAUAACUCCUCUUUAACUGACCCUCUCACCUCCCUGAGCCAGGCCCUGGCUGCCUACAAGAGCACCCCAUGGACCACCUGGUUCCAUGUGAAAAUAGCAGCGAGCAAGUGGCAGGAGGCGGUGUCUCUGCUUGUGGACAGGUGGGCCAGGCUGCCCAGGAAGGCCACCGAGCUCCACAACGCCUGCAGGGAGGUGGCCGACAGGGCGGCCACUGCCACUGCCCGGGCCAGGGACCUGCAUCAUGAGAUUGCCCAUUAUGAGACAGCUCAGGAAAACAUGGAGCUGGAUCAGGCCCUGGGCAGGGAGGAGGGGGCCGAGGUGAUGGCCGGGCAUAAAGCCCAGGUGAGGAGAGAGGCCAUGGUGGCUGCCAGCGAGGCAACAAGGGCCACCAUGGUGAGACAGCGGGUGGAGGCGGCCCUGGGGCUGCUGGAGCGCUUGGUGGCCACGUGUGACGAAGCCACCGCGUUCACCCGGGAGCUGCAGCGCAGGGUUGGGGACAUCAAGACCAGCUUGAAGGGGACAAAUGAGGCAUCAUACGAUGUCCCUGAGGACUUGGUGGCCAGGGUGGCCAUGGCUGAGCGGCUGUGGGAGGCCAACAACCGCCUGGCCAAGGAUCACCUGGAGGAGACGCUUGACGACAUCAUCAAGUUCUAUAUCGAUGGUGAACCCGUCAGCCCCAGUGGCUGUGGCGUGGCCGAGCGGUGCCAAAGAGCCACUGAGGACAUCCCAAGGCUCCUCAAACCCCGAGAGCGUCCCCAAGGUGUCCCCAAGGUGUCUCCAGUGAGCAUGGAGCUCCAAGAGCUGUCCCCGGCCCUGCUGCAGCCACAGGUCACCGUGGUGGCCACCCUGGGUGAGCUGCUGGAUACCCUGCCCAGGCAGGAAGAGGAGAUGAUGCUGCCCGUGUCCACAGCGAGCCUGUACCGGGACCUGGUGGACUUCACUGAGAGCCUCUGGGUCACCCUGUACCGCACUGAGGGCACCUGGUGGCGCCACAAUGUCACCCACGAUGAUGGUGACCCUCUCACCUCCCUGAGUGGGGUCAUGGCCGCCUAUGACAGCACCACCUGGACCAGCUGGGACGAUGUGACAAUGGCAGCCAGGAAGUGGCAGCGAUCAGUGUCUGUGCUUGUGAACAGCUGGGCCCAGCUGGCCAGGAAGGCCACCAAGCUCCACAACACCUGCANAAGGAUCACCUACGGGGGACGCUUGAUGACAUCAUCAACUUCUAUUUCACUGCUGGUCCCACCAGCCCCAGUGCCUGUGGGGUGGCCGAGCAGUGCCAAAGAGCCAUCGAGGACAUCCCAAGGCUCCUUCGACCUGUGGAGCAUCCCCAAGGUGUCCUCAAGAUGUCCCCAGUGAGCACGGAGCUCCAAGAGCUGUCCCCAACCCUGCUGCAGCCACAGGUCACCGUGGUGGCCAUCCUGGGCAAGCUCCUGGCCACCCUGCCCAGGCGGGACAAGAUGAAUCUCGUGUCCGCAGUGGACCUGUACUGGGAACUGGUGAACUUCACCAAGGACCUUCGGGUCACCCUGUACUGCACUGAUGCCACCUGGCAGCGCCACAAUGUCACUUCCAAUGGUGAUGACCCUGUCACCUUGCUGAGCCAGGUCCUGGUCACCUACAAGAGCACCCCAUGGACCCCCCAGAACCGUGUGACAAUGGCAGCCAGGAAGUGGCAGCAGUUGGUGGCCACGCUCAUGAACAGCUGGGCCCGGCUGGCCAGGGCAGCCACCAAGCUCCGCAACAGCUGCAUAGAGGCGGCUGCUGAGGCGGUUGACAGAGUCGCCCAGGCCAGAGAACAACAGCGCAGGGCUGCCUAUGGUGGGACAGCUCAGGAAAACAUGGUGGAGCUGGGUCAGGCCCUGGGCAGGGAGGAGGGGGCCGAGGAGGAGGAUCCCUAUAAAGCCCAGAAAAGGAGAGAUGCCAGGGUGGCUGCCAGCGAGGCAACAAGGGCCACCAUGGUGAGACAGCAGCUGGAGGUGGCCCUGGGGCUGCUGGAGCCCUUGGUGGCCGCGUGUGACGAAGCCACCGCGUUUCCCCGGGAGCUGGAGUGGCGGCUCAGGGACAUUGAGGCUGCCCUGAAGGGGACAAAUGAGGCGUCCCCUGAUGUCCCGGCGGACUUGGUGGCCAAGGUGGCUGAGGCUGAGCGGCUGUGGAAGGCCAACGCCCGCCUGGCCAAGGAUCACCUAUGGGGGAUGCUUGAUGACAUCAUCAACUUCUAUUUCACUGCUGGUCCCACCAGCCCCAGUGCCUGUGAGGUUGCCAAGCGGUGCCAAAGAGCCACCGAGGACAUCCCAAGGCUCCUUCGACCUGUGGAGCAUCCCCAAGAUGU
rnacentral:lncRNA from 1 species